CAAAUACUCCCUCCGUCCAGAAAUACUUGUCAUCAAAAUGGAUAAAAGGGAAUGUAUCUAGACAUAUUUUAGUUUUAGAUACAUCUAUUUUUAUCCAUUUUGAUGACAAGUAUUUUCGGACGGAGGGAGUAGAAA
rnacentral:pre_miRNA from 1 species